rnacentral:rRNA from 1 species
AUUGAACGCUGGCGACAGGCCUAACACAUGCAAGUCGAGCGGAGCGGCGGACGGGUGAGUAAUGCCUAGGAAUCUGCCUGGUAGUGGGGGAUAACGUCCGGAAACGGGCGCUAAUACCGCAUACUAUCAGAUGAGCCUAGGGCGGUUUGGCUAGGUGGGGGGGUAAAGGCCUACCAAGGCGACGAUCCGUAACUGGUCUGAGAGGAUGAUCAGGCACACUGGAACGUAGACACGGUCCAUGCUCAUGCGAGAGGAAGCAGUGGGGCAUAUUGGACAAUGGGGGAAAGCCUGAUCCAGCCAUGCCGCGUGUGUGAAGGAGGUCUUCGGAUUGUAAAGAACUUUAAGUUGUGGGGCGUUACCAACAGAAUAAGCACCGGCUAACUUCGUGCCAGCAGCCGCGGUAAUAC